UCACCCUUCAAGCCCUGCGCUUGAUGUUGGACGGCUUGGUCGCAUAUCUCGUUCGACCCCUCCUAAAGACAAUGACGGCGGCCUGUGGUUCCCCCGGUACACUGAGCUUUUUAACUGAGCACGUAUCGGACAAGGGCGCCCGGGUCACGGUCCUCUCCCGUAACGGGAAACACUUUUACUAA
rnacentral:misc_RNA from 1 species